GUAGGUGAACCUGCGGAAGGAUCAUUAUUGAAAUAAACCUGAUGAGUUGCUGCUGGUUCUCUAGGGAGCAUGUGCACACUUGUCAUCUUUGUAUCUUCACCUGUGCACCUUUUGUAGACCUUGGGUAUCUCUCUGAUUGCUUAGCACUCAGGAUUGAGGAUUGACUUUCUGUCUCUUCUUACAUUUCCAGGUCUAUGUUUCUUCAUAUGCCCUAAUGUAUGUUUAUAGAAUGUAAUUAAUGGGCCUUUGUGCCUAUAAAUCUAUACAACUUUCAGCAACGGAUCUCUUGGCUCUC
rnacentral:misc_RNA from 1 species